rnacentral:rRNA from 1 species
GGAUCAUUGUCGAAAUCGAACGGAAGAACGACCCGCGAAUCGUCAUUGCGUAGUAGACAGAGCCCGUGAGCACCCAACGCUCACGGGUCUCGCGUCGCGUCGGCGCGGGUGUGUACUCGAGACCCGCGUCGUACCGGCGGACAAACAACGUCAGCACGGAUCGUGCCAAGGAGCUGCAUGGAGAAUCGUCGUCCCACGCCUUUGAUAGUCCUCGACGCGGGACGGGGGACGUACGCAAUCUCUACUCAAGUCUAAACGACUCUCGGCAACGGAUAUCUCGGCUCUUGCAUCGAUGAAGAACGUAGCGAAAUGCGAUACUUGGUGUGAAUUGCAGAAUCCCGUGAACCAUCAAUUCUUUGAACGCAAGUUGCGCCCGAAGCCAUUCGGCCGAGGGCACGCCUGCCUGGGCGUCGUGAAUCCCCUUGCCCCUAGGCACCCGCACGAGCAUUGGCGGGGAUAUAUGCCCGGGCGCAGAAUAUGGCCUCCCGUGGGAUCGGCAUGCACGGCAUGCCGAGGUGCGGUUGGCCGAAAAUCGAGCAUGGCGGUGACGGGCACCACGGCGUUCGGUGGAUCGAACGGGAUUGGCUGCGUCGUGGGCUCGGCAUGCGGCGGGCUCCGGACUUUGAAUAUCCCCGAGUGCGAUCCCAGGUCAGGCGGGGCUACCCGCUGAGUUUAAGCAUAUCAAUAAGCGGAGGAAAAGAAACUAACGAGGAUUCCCUUAGUAGCGGC